rnacentral:rRNA from 1 species
UACGGGGGGAGCAAGCGUUGUUCGGAUUUACUGGGCGUAAAGGGCGCGUAGGCGGUCGUGACAAGUCACUUGUGAAAUCUCCGGGCUUAACCCGGAGCGGCCAAGUGAUACUGUUGUGCUAGAGUGCAGAAGGGGCAACUGGAAUUCUCGGUGUAGCGGUGAAAUGCGUAGAUAUCGAGAGGAACACCUGCGGCGAAGGCGGGUUGCUGGGCUGACACUGACGCUGAGGCGCGAAAGCCAGGGGAGCGAACGGG